rnacentral:rRNA from 1 species
UGGGGAAUAUUGGUCAAUGGGCGAGAGCCUGAACCAGCCAAGUAGCGUGCAGGAUGACGGCCCUAUGGGUUGUAAACUGCUUUUGUAUGGGGAUAAAGUCAAUCACGUGUGAUUGUUUGCAGGUACCAUACGAAUAAGGACCGGCUAAUUCCGUGCCAGCAGCCGCGGUAAUACGGAAGGUCCGGGCGUUAUCCGGAUUUAUUGGGUUUAAAGGGAGCGUAGGCUGGAGAUUAAGUGUGUUGUGAAAUGUAGACGCUCAACGUCUGACUUGCAGCGCAUACUGGUUUCCUUGAGUACGCACAACGUUGGCGGAAUUCGUCGUGUAGCGGUGAAAUGCUUAGACAUGACGAAGAACUCCGAUUGCGAAGGCAGCUGACGGGAGCGCAACUGACGCUGAAGCUCGAAGGUGCGGGUAUCGAACAGGAUUAGAUACCCUGGUAGUCCGCACAGUAAACGAUGGAUGCCCGCUGUUGGUACUUGGUAUCAGCGGCUAAGCGAAAGCAUUAAGCAUCCCACCUGGGGAGUACGCCGGCAAGCGGUG